AGUGAACGCUGGCGGUAGGCCUAACACAUGCAAGUCGAACGGCAGCACAGUAAGAGCUUGCUCUUACGGGUGGCGAGUGGCGGACGGGUGAGGAAUACAUCGGAAUCUACUUUUUCGUGGGGGAUAACGUAGGGAAACUUACGCUAAUACCGCAUACGACCUACGGGUGAAAGCAGGGGAUCUUCGGACCUUGCGCGAUUGAAUGAGCCGAUGUCGGAUUAGCUAGUUGGCGGGGUAAAGGCCCACCAAGGCGACGAUCCGUAGCUGGUCUGAGAGGAUGAUCAGCCACACUGGAACUGAGACACGGUCCAGACUCCUACGGGAGGCAGCAGUGGGGAAUAUUGGACAAGGGGCGCAAGCCUGAUCCAGCCAGACCGCGUGGGUGAAGAAGGCCUUCGGGUUGUAAAGCCCUUUUGUUGGGAAAGAAAAGCAGCAGGUUAAGACCCCGCUGUUCUGACGGUACCCAAAGAAUAAGCACCGGCUAACUGCGU
rnacentral:rRNA from 1 species